rnacentral:rRNA from 1 species
CUAAGGAGACUGCCGGUGUCAAACCGGAGGAAGGUGGGGAUGACGUCAAGUCAUCAUGGCCCUACGGUUUGGGCUACACACGUGCUACAAUGGCGGUGACAGUGGGCAGCCACUCAGUAAUGAGGAGCUAAUCCCAAAAAGACCGUCUCAGUUCGGAUUGAGCUCUGCAACUCGAGCUCAUGAAGUCGGAAUCGCUAGUAAUCGCGGAUCAGCACGCCGCGGUGAAUACGUUCCCGGGCCUU